rnacentral:rRNA from 1 species
AUUGAACGCUGGCGGCAUGCCUUACACAUGCAAGUCGAACGGUAACGCGGGGCAACCUGGCGACGAGUGGCGAACGGGUGAGUAAUGUAUCGGAACGUGCCCAGUUGUGGGGGAUAACUGCUCGAAAGAGCAGCUAAUACCGCAUACGACCUGAGGGUGAAAGCGGGGGAUCGCAAGACCUCGCGCAAUUGGAGCGGCCGAUAUCAGAUUAGGUAGUUGGUGGGGUAAAGGCUCACCAAGCCGACGAUCUGUAGCUGGUCUGAGAGGACGACCAGCCACACUGGGGCUGGGACACUGCCCAGACUCCUACGGGAGGCAGCAGUGGGGAAUUUUGGACAAUGGACGCAAGUCUGAUCCAGCCAUGCCGCGUGCGGGAAGAAGGCCUUCGGGUUGUAAACCGCUUUUGUCAGGGAAGAAAAGGCUCCUUCUAAUAUAGGGGGCUCAUGACGGUACCUGAAGAAUAAGCACCGGCUAACUACGUGCCAGCCGCCGCAGUAACAC